GCCGAGAUGGCCCAGCCCGGUAAGGCGCGAGCCUGGAAAGCUCGUGGGCGCCUUUGCCCUCGGGAGUUCAAAUCUCCCUCUCGGCGCCA
rnacentral:tRNA from 4 species